CGGGCGCACGGCGGAUGCCUUGGCACAGGGAGCCGAUGAAGGACGCGGCAAGCUGCGAUAAUCCCCGGCGAGGAGCACACAUCCUUCGACCCGGGGGUCUCCGAAUGGGCGAACCCAUGCACAGCGGUGUGCAUAUCCCGGCCCUGAACACAUAGGGGCCGGGAGGACAACCCGGGGAACUGAAACAUCUAAGUACCCGGAGGAGAGGAAAUCAAUCUCGAGACUCCCCGAGUAGCGGCGAGCGAAAGGGGACCGAUGGCCAAACCGUCGAGCGGGGAUACCCGGCAGGGGUUCCGCCGGCGGGGUUGCAGGGCCGCGCAUCCGGGGGCUGCCGCCCCCGGGCGCAGGUCCGGCUGGGGAGCGGAACGGCAUGGGAGGGCCGGCCGCAGCGGGUGACAGCCCCGUACGCGAACCCAGACCGGACGGCGCGACGCGGUCCCUGAGUAGGGCCGGGCACGUGAAACCCGGUCCGAACCUGGGUGGACCACCAUCCAAGCCUGAGUACUACCCUGUGACCGAUAGCGCACCAGUACCGUGAGGGAAAGGUGAAAAGCACCCCGGGAGGGGAGUGAAACAGUACCUGAAACCGUGCGCCCACGAGCAGUCGGAGCACCUAUAUGGUGUGACGGCGUGCCUUUUGUAGAAUGAGCCAGCGAGUCGCUGGCGCGGGGCGAGGUUAACCGGAAGGGAGCCGAAGCGAAAGCGAGCCUUAACAGGGCGACUUGAGUCCCGCGCCGCGGACGCGAAGCCGGGUGAGCUAUCCGUGGGCAGGCUGAAGCGGGGGUAAGACCCCGUGGAGGGCCGAACGCACGUCGGUUGAAAACGGCGGCGAUGACCUGCGGAUAGGGGUGAAAGGCCAAUCAAACCCGGAGAUAUCUCGUUCUCCCCGAAAUAGCUUUAGGGCUAGCGUCGCGCGUUCACCGCCGGAGGUAGAGCACCGGAUGGACGAGGGGGCUUCGCCGCCUACCGAAUCCAACCGAACUCCGAAUGCCGGCGGCCCAGAGCGCGGCAGUCAGAGCAUGUGGGCUAAGCUGUGUGCUCGAGAGGGAAACAGCCCGGACCGCCCGCUAAGGUCCCCAAGUUCCAGCCGAGUGGCAAAGGAUGUGCGUCCGCCCAGACAACCAGGAUGUUGGCUUAGAAGCAGCCAUGCAUUCAAAGAGUGCGUAACAGCUCACUGGUCGAGUGGACAUGCGCCGACAAUACACGGGGCUAAGCUGGACACCGAAGCGGCGGGAUUUUAAUUCAUUAGAAUCGGUAGGGGAGCUUCCCAUGGGCGGGGAAGCCGCCGGGCGACCGGCGGUGGAGCGCAUGGGAGUGAGAAUGCUGGCAUGAGUAGCGAGAGACGAGAGAGUAACUCGUCCGCCGUGAACCCGAGGUUUCCUGGGCAAGGCUAAUCCUCCCAGGGUCAGUCGGGGGCUAAGGCGAGGCCGGGAGGCGUAGCCGACGCGCAGCAGGCAGACAUUCCUGCACCGCGCACGCGGCGCUACGACCGACGGGGCGACGGAUGGGGGUGGCUCGGCGGGGUUCUGGACGUCCCCGUGAUGGAGCGCGGCCCGCGGACCAGGGAAAUCCGGUCCGCACACAGGGCGAGGCUCCGGACGAAGCGAUCAAGCGAAGCGAGUGAGCCCGAGGUCCCUAGAAAAACCCCUAGGCAGGCGCGUGCGCGCCCGUACCGCAAACCGACACAGGUGGGUGGGUAGAACAUACCGAGGCGAUCGGGUCAACCAUGGUCAAGGAACUCGGCACAAUGGCCCCGUAACUUCGGGAGAAGGGGUGCCCGCGCGUACGUGAACCGGCUUGCCCGGGGAGCGGAGGCGGGCCGCAGUGGAGAGGCCCAAGCGACUGUUUACCAAAAACACAGGACUCUGCAGAAGCCGCAAGGCGACGUAUAGGGUCUGACGCCUGCCCGGUGCCGGAAGGUCACGCGGAGGAGUUAGCGCAUCGCGCGAAGCCCCGAAGCCAAGCCCCGGUAAACGGCGGCCGUAACUAUAACGGUCCUAAGGUAGCGAAAUUCCUUGUCGGGUAAGUUCCGACCUGCACGAAUGGCGUAACGAUUUGGGCGCUGUCUCAACCAUAGACCCGGUGAAAUUGUAUUAUUCGUGAAGAUGCGAAUUACCCACGGAAGGACGGAAAGACCCCGUGAACCUUCACUACAGCUUGACAUUGAUCAUUGGUUCUGUGUGUAGAGGAUAGGUGGGAGACCGUGAAGCACGAGCGCCAGCUUGUGUGGAGUCAUCCUUGGAAUACCACCCUCACAGUAUUGGUGAUCUAACGCGGCGCCGUUAUCCGGGUCGCGGACCGUGUCAGGUGGGUAGUUUGACUGGGGCGGUCGCCUCCUAAAAGGUAA
rnacentral:rRNA from 1 species